CACGUAGGGGCCAAGCGUUGUCCGGAUUUAUUGGGCGUAAAGAGCUCGUAGGCGGCUCGGUAAGUCAGGUGUGAAACCUCCAGGCUCAACCUGGAGACGCCACCUGAUACUGCUGUGGCUAGAGUCCGGGUAGGGGAGCGUGGAAUUCCUGGUGUAGCGGUGAAAUGCGCAGAUAUCAGGAGGAACACCAGCGGCGAAGGCGGCGCUCUGGGCCGGAACUGACGCUGAGGAGCGAAAGCGUGGGUAGCAAACAGG
rnacentral:rRNA from 1 species